GGAGCCGUGCCUGAACGCCCAAGGACCACUUUGAUGAAGUGACCAACAGGGGUUAAAAUCCCCUCAGCUCCU
rnacentral:tRNA from 2 species